rfam:Nicotiana attenuata strain TT scaffold03316, whole genome shotgun sequence.
UAGACAGAUUAUUGUAUUCGACUGUAUUCACAGCGCAAUUCAUUGUCUAUUCAACUGUUUUUAAACGGAAAGUGAAUCAAUUAACAUAAUAGACUCCU